rnacentral:piRNA from 1 species
UGUGCAUUGAUGUUGGUGGUUGCUGUGAU